rnacentral:rRNA from 1 species
UCAGGAUGAACGCUGGCGGCGCGCUUAACACAUGCAAGUCGAACGGUUAAAGCACCCUCGGGUGUGGAUAAAGUGGCGAGCGGCUGAGUAACACGUGGGCAACCUGCCCCCCGCACCGGGAUAGCCUCGGGAAACCGUGGGUAAUACCGGAUACUCCGCCCACCCCGCAUGGGGAGGGCGGAAAGCAAUGCACGGCGGGGAUGGGCCCGCGGCCUGUUAGCUCGUUGGCGGGGUAACGGCCCACCAAGGCGACUAUGGGUAGCCGGGUUGAGAGACCGACCGGCCAGAUUGGGACUGAGACACGGCCCAGACUCCUACGGGAGGCAGCAGUGGGGAAUCUUGCACAAUGGGCGAAAGCCUGAUGCCAGCGACGCCGCGUGCGGGAAGAAGGCCCUCGGGUUGUAAACCGCUUUCAGCAGGGACGAGGCGCAAGUGACGGUACCUGCAGAAGAAGCCCCGGCUAACUACGUGCCAGCCGCAGC